rfam:Aequorivita viscosa strain DSM 26349 genome assembly, contig: Ga0066802_104
AUUUUAGAGGAAAGAUUUGACUGAUUGCAACCUCUUCUGAAUCGGGAUUUCCGAGGAUGAGACCCCGCAUUAAAUGCGAGGCUAAAAAUGCUAAAGGCAGUGCA